UACGUAGGGUGCGAGCGUUACUCGGAAUUACUGGGCGUAAAGUGUGCGCAGGCGGUUGAGCAAGUCGAGUGUGAAAGCCCCGGGCUUAACUUGGGAAUUGCGCUCGAAACUACUUGACUGGAGUGUGGCAGAGGAAGGUGGAAUUCCACGUGUAGCGGUGAAAUGCGUAGAGAUGUGGAGGAACACCAGUGGCGAAGGCGGCGUCCUGGACCAACACUGACACUGAGGAGCGAAAGCCAGGGGAGCAAACGGG
rnacentral:rRNA from 1 species